AUGAGGAGCGGCGGGGCACUGCUCGCCACGGCCGGCCUCGCAUCACAGGCUGCAAAGAAUCUUGUAGCUGCGGCCGCGGCACCUUCAGCCCCUGCUUUCAGGGCAUCUGCUGCAAAUACACCUUCUGGAGCAGGUAGCAUGCUUAGGAAUCUACAGCAGAGGUACUGGUCAAGCUUUGUUGGUCAGAGGGCACGGGGCGUGCACUCUGGUGCUGCCGCUUUUCUUUCUAAAGAGAUCCAUAGGAGUGGCCCAGAAAGAGUUACACAGAACUUCAAAACGCUAAAUCAAGGAAUUUCAAGUGCGGCAAGGGAGGAAGGACAUGUUCUUGGUACUGCAAGUGCACCCCAGUACACAGUAGAGAAGGACCUACUUAAAAAGCAGCUUCUGCGUACCAUCUCUGCCCUUACAGUUACUGGCUUUGCCAUCUAUGGCGUUAAGCUUAUGCUUGAUAGUGCCAUAGACACCAAAGUUAGCAAAUUCGAUGGUCUGAAAGAAGUAUUAGCCACAGAUUUAAGCACAAGGUUCAGUGAUGUAAAGGGGGUUGAUGAAGCCAAAGCUGAGCUCGAAGACAUAGUUCACUACCUACGAGAUCCCGAUAGUUUCAAACGCCUUGGUGGCAAGCUUCCAAAGGGUGUUUUGCUUGUGGGCCAACCUGGCACAGGGAAGACAAUGCUAGCAAGGUCGGUAGCUGGGGAAGCCGGCGUCCCUUUCUUCUCGUGCAGUGGCAGUGAUUUCGAAGAGAUGUAUGUUGGUGUUGGUGCUAGGAGAGUGAGGGAGCUCUUCAGUGCAGCAAAGAAGCGAUCUCCUUGCAUAGUAUUUAUCGAUGAAAUCGAUGCAAUUGGUGGGCGCAGAGACACUGAAGGUUUAACGUCACAGAGGCCGGCUCUGAACCAGCUGCUUGUUGAGAUGGAUGGCUUCAAGCAGAAUGACGGGAUUAUUGUGAUCGCAGCAACGACCUUGCCGCAGUCACUAGAUAGCGCUCUUGUCAGGCCUGGACGUUUUGACUGUCAAGUUCAUGUUUCGGUUCCAGAUGUUGAGGGCCGCCGACAGAUCCUCGAGGCUUACAUGUCAAAGGUGAGUAAAUCCAAGGAUGUGGAUGCGAUGACCAUCGCAAGGGGGACGCCUGGGUUCUCAGGUGCAGCCCUUGCAAACCUAGUGAACACUGCCGCUCUUAAGGCUUCCAGGGAUGGGGCAAAUGCUGUUGGGAUGGGUCACCUUGAGUACGCCAUGGACAGGAUCAUCAUGGGCAGGGAGCGCAAGUCGAUGGUGAUAUCCGAUCUAUCAAAGAAGAGGACUGCAUACCACGAGGCUGGGCACGCCCUUGUUGCUAUCCUCACGGACGGUGCUAACACUGUCCACAAGGCCACCAUCGUGCCUAUGGGAAAUGCUCUCGGCAAGGUGACGCAGCUGCCAGGGGAAGACAGCCACCUCACAAGGAAGCAGAUGCUGGCGAGGCUCGACGUCGCCAUGGGAGGACGGGUGGCCGACGAGCUUAUAUUUGGAGAAGCAGGGAUCACCACUGGUGCCUCAUCUGACCUAAGCAAGGCAACUCGAUAUGCGAAAGACAUGGUCGUCAAGUAUGGUAUGAGCAAGCGUGUCGGCCUUGUUUCCUAUGGCAAUGACAUCAAUGCUGCCCGUGGCAAGGCGAUGGCCAUGAGCGGGCGGACGAUAGGUCUGGUUGAUGAGGAGGUGAAAGCAUUAUUGGACAACGCUUACAGGAACGCGAAAAAGAUUCUCACAGAGCACAACAAGGAGUUUCAUGCACUAGCAAAUGCCCUCAUGGAGCAUGAAACUCUCACUGGUGACCAGAUCAAGAAACUAGUUUUGACAGGACGACAAGGAGAUGGUCGUAGCAACAGCCAGCAAAAUCAGGGAACACCUUCUCUCACUGGUGACCAAAUCAAGAAACGAGUUUCGACAGGACGACAUGGAGAUCGUCGUAGCAACAGCCAGCAAAAUCAGGGAACACCUUCUCUCACUGAUGACCAAAUCAAGAAACGAGUUUCGACAGGACGACAAGGAGAUGAUCGUAGCAGCAGCCAGCAAAAUCAGGUAACACCACCUCUUGCCGGUGACGAGAUCACAAAACUAGUAUCGACAGACCAACAAGUAGAUGGUCAUAACAAUAGCCGCCAGGAUCAGGGAACAUCUUCUCUCUCUAGUGACGAGAGCACCAAAUCAAUAUCAACAGAACAACCAGGAGAUGGUCCUAACAGUAGCAAGCAUAAUCAGGGAGCACCGUCUAUCGCUGGUGAGGAGGCCACAAAACUAGUUUCGACAGAAAAACAAGCGGAUUGUUAUAGCGGUAGCCAGUGGGAUCAGGGAACACCUUCUCUCACCCGCAACGAGGACGCUAACCAGUGA
rnacentral:rRNA from 1 species